rnacentral:tRNA from 1 species
UAAUUAAUAGCUUAUAAUGAAUAAAGCGUGGCUUUGAAGGGGCUUAGAAAGAAAAUUUUUCUUUAAUUAA